AACGUAGGAGGCGAGCGUUAUCCGGAGUUACUGGGCGUAAAGGGUGUGCAGGCGGUAUGUUAAGUGGCUUGUGAAAGCUCCGGGCUAAACUCGGAGAGUGCAGGUCAGACUGGCAGACUAGAAUCGGACAGAGGGCUGUGGAAUUCCGGGUGUAGCGGUGAAAUGUGCAGAGAUCCGGAGGAACACCAGAGGUGAAAACGGCGGCCUGGGUUCAGAUUGACGCUGAGACACGAAAGCGUGGGGAGCGAACGGG
rnacentral:rRNA from 1 species